rnacentral:rRNA from 1 species
UCCGGUGGCGAUAGCGAAGAGGUCACACCCGUUCCCAUGCCGAACACGGUCGUUAAGCUCUUCAGCGCCGAUGGUAGUUGGAGG